AGAGUGAACGCUGGCGGUAGGCCUAACACAUGCAAGUCGAACGGCAGCACGGUAAGAGCUUGCUCUUAUGGGUGGCGAGUGGCGGACGGGUGAGGAAUACAUCGGAAUCUACCUUUUGGUGGGGGAUAACGUAGGGAAACUUACGCUAAUACCGCAUACGCCCUUCGGGGGAAAGCCGGGGACCAGCAAUGGCCUGGCGCUGAUAGAUGAGCCGAUGUCGGAUUAGCUAGUUGGUGAGGUAAUGGCUCACCAAGGCGACGAUCCGUAGCUGGUCUGAGAGGAUGAUCAGCCACACUGGAACUGAGACACGGUCCAGACUCCGUACGGGAGCAGCAGGUGGGAAUAGUUGGACAAGUGGGCGCGAAGCCUAGAUCCAGCCAUACCGGCGGUGGGUAGAAGAAGGUCCUUCGGGUUAGUAAACGUUCCCGUUUGGUUAGGGAAAAGAAAGUCGUAAGUUUCGGUUAACGUACCCGGGUU
rnacentral:rRNA from 1 species